UAAAUUUAGAGUUUGAUCCUGGCUCAGGACGAACGCUGGCGGCGUGCUUAACACAUGCAAGUCGAGCGAUGAA
rnacentral:rRNA from 1 species